GCGGGAGUGGCGGAACCAGGUAGACGCGCACGGUUUAGGUCCGUGUGUCUUCGGACGUGAGGGUUCGAGUCCCUCCUCCCGCA
rnacentral:tRNA from 2 species